CACGUAGGGGGCGAGCGUUGUCCGGAUUUAUUGGGCGUAAAGAGCUCGUAGGCGGCCCAGUAGGUCAGGUGUGAAAACUCCAGGCUCAACCUGGAGACGCCACCUGAUACUGCUGUGGCUAGAGUCCGGUAGGGGAGCAUGGAAUUCCUGGUGUAGCGGUGAAAUGCGCAGAUAUCAGGAGGAACACCAGUGGCGAAGGCGGUGCUCUGGGCCGGAACUGACGCUGAGGCGCGAAAGCGUGGGGAGCAAACAGG
rnacentral:rRNA from 1 species